GACGAACGCUGGCGGCGUGCUUAACACAUGCAAGUCGAACGGAAAGGCCCUGCUUUUGUGGGGUGCUCGAGUGGCGAACGGGUGAGUAACACGUGAGUAACCUGCCCUUGACUUUGGGAUAACUUCAGGAAACUGGGGCUAAUACCGGAUAGGAGCUCCUGCUGCAUGGUGGGGGUUGGAAAGUUUCGGCGGUUGGGGAUGGACUCGCGGCUUAUCAGCUUGUUUGUGGGGUAGUGGCUUACCAAGGCUUUGACGGGUAGCCGGCCUGGGCGGGUGACCGGCCAGAUUGGGACUGAGAUACGGCCCAGACUCCUACGGGGGGCAGAAGUGGGGAAUAUUGAACAAUGGGCGGAAGCCUGACGCAGCAACGCCGCGUGCGGGAUAACGGCCUUCGGGUUGUAAACCGCUUUCGCCUGUGACGAAGCGUGAGUGACGGUAAUGGGUAAAGAAGCACCGGCUGACUACGUG
rnacentral:rRNA from 1 species